UUAAGCAUAUCAAUAAGCGGAGGAAAAGAAACCAACUGGGAUUGCCUUAGUAACGGCGAGUGAAGCGGCAAUAGCUCAAAUUUGAAAGCUGGCUCCUUCGGAGUCCGCGUUGUAAUUUGUAGAGGAUGCUUCGGCAAGGGCUCCCGUCUAAGUCCCCUGGAACGGGGCGUCACAGAGGGUGAGAAUCCCGUAUGUGAUGGGUUGCCUAAGCCAUGUGAAGCUCCUUCGACGAGUCGAGUUGUUUGGGAAUGCAGCUCUAAAUGGGAGGUAAAUUUCUUCUAAAGCUAAAUACCGGCCAGAGACCGAUAGCGCACAAGUAGAGUGAUCGAAAGAUGAAAAGCACUUUGGAAAGAGAGUUAAAAAGUACGUGAAAUUGUUGAAAGGGAAGCGCUUGCAGCCAGACUUGUCCGCAGUUGCUCAGCCGGUCUCUUGACCGGCGUACUCUUCUGCGGCCAGGCCAGCAUCAGUUCGGGCGGUCGGAUAAAGGUCCUGGGAAUGUAGCUCCCCUCGGGGAGUGUUAUAGCCCAGGGCGCAAUGCGGCCAGCCUGGACUGAGGAUCUCGCUUCGGCUAGGAUGCUGGCGUAAUGGCUGUAAGCGGCCCGUCUUGAAACACGGACCAAGGAGUCUAACAUCUAUGCGAGUGUUUGGGUGUCAAACCCAUGCGCGUAAUGAAAGUGAACGGAGGUGGGAACCCUCACGGGUGCACCAUCGACCGAUCCUGAUGUCUUCGGAUGGAUUUGAGUAAGAGCAUAGCUGUUGGGACCCGAAAGAUGGUGAACUAUGCCUGAAUAGGGUGAAGCCAGAGGAAACUCUGGUGGAGGCUCGCAGCGGUUCUGACGUGCAAAUCGAUCGUCAAAUUUGGGUAUAGGGGCGAAAGACUAAUCGAACCAUCUAGUAGCUGGUUCCUGCCGAA
rnacentral:rRNA from 1 species